rnacentral:tRNA from 1 species
UGGCUCACUGGUAGAGCACAUGCUUAGCAUGCACGAGGUCCUGGGUUUAAUCCCCAG